CGGCGAGUGAAGCGGCAACAGCUCAAAUUUGAAAUCUGGGACGUUCGGUCUCCGAGUUGUAAUUUGCAGAGGAAGCCUCGGAGGGAUGGUCGGUCCAAGUGCCUUGGAACAGGAUACCGCAGAGGGUGAGAGUCCCGUAUCCGGCCGACGCAUCGCUCCGUGUGAGGCUCCUUCGACGAGUCGAGUUGUUUGGGAAUGCAGCUCUAAGCGGGUGGUAAAUUCCAUCUAAAGCUAAAUACUGGCCAGAGACCGAUAGCGAACAAGUAGAGUGAUCGAAAGAUGAAAAGCACUUUGAAAAGAGAGUCAAACAGUACGUGAAAUUGUUGAAAGGGAAGCGCAUGGGGGCAGACUUGGACGCGGGGUUCAGGGUGUCGAUUUCGGCGCCUGUACUUCCCCGCGGACAGGCCAGCAUCGGUUCUGGGGGCCGGACAAAGGCGUUGAGAAAGUGGCCGCCUCGGCGGUGUUAUAGCUCGACGUGCAAUGCGGCC
rnacentral:rRNA from 1 species